rnacentral:rRNA from 1 species
AUUGAACGCUGGCGGCAUGCCUUACACAUGCAAGUCGAACGGUAACAGGGAGCUUGCUCCGCUGACGAGUGGCGAACGGGUGAGUAAUGUAUCGGAACGUACCUUUUAGUGGGGGAUAACGUAGCGAAAGUUACGCUAAUACCGCAUAUUCACUGAGGAGGAAAGCAGGGGACCUUCGGGCCUUGCGCUAAUAGAGCGGCUGAUAUCAGAUUAGCUAGUUGGUGAGGUAAAGGCUCACCAAGGCGACGAUCUGUAGCGGGUCUGAGAGGAUGAUCCACCACACUGGAACUGAGACACGGUCCAGACUCCUACGGGAGGCAGCAGUGGGGAAUUUUGGACAAUGGGGGCAACCCUGAUCCAGCCAUGCCGCGUGAGUGAAGAAGGCCUUCGGGUUGUAAAGCUCUUUCGGCCGGGAAAAAAUCGCAUGGGUUAAUACCCUGUGUGGAUGAUGGUACCGGAAUAAGAAGCACCGGCUAACUACGUGCCAGCAGCCGCCGUAAGAC